ensembl:lncRNA LINC00662 long intergenic non-protein coding RNA 662
AGACACCACCCCAGCCAGCAUGGCCGGCAGGAGCGCACCGCGCUGUCUCCCUCCAGGGAUCCGCACCGCCCUACAAUCCUGCUUUGUGCUGAGAUUGUAGUCCUGCAGGCGUACAACUAACAAGCUGGGUGCAGAUAAGAGACUACAGCUCCCCGCAUCCCAAGCAAAGGUCCCUCCUCUACGGAGCCCCUCCACGCGUCCACUGCGGUUCCGCCGUGCCAAGGGGAGCUUGGCUGUUCACGGGCCUCACCUGCUAGCGAGAAGAUAGCUUGGCCGGGCGGCUGAUCUCACCUUGUAAUUCUGACACUGUGUCUCCCGGGCUUGUCGGCUUCAUGACUUGUGCCCAAAGUUUGAUUUCUCGCAGACCAGGAGGACCCAUUGGACCCCCGGGCUGGCUGCAGGGCCCACACCUGGGUUAGACCUCGCACAGGGACGCUGCUGCCACUGUAAUAAAGCGUGCCUACACGCUUCUGAAACUGGUGUAGGAACAACCUCAGUUCUGUGAAAGGCGGACGCAGCAGGACAGAAUCUCCGUGGACAUCUGUCUGGAGGAGCAAUUUUACUGCGACAUUUUAAAGAAACAAAUUUAAUUGAUUUCCAAGGCUGGAUUGUUCCAAAAAAAAAAAAUCUAGAAGGUCAAAUUCAUCAUGCAGGAAGGAGGGUAAGAAUAUAUAUAGAGAGAAAAGAACAGAGAAGAAAUACAACAGCAACUCACUACUGGAGUGGGUUCAUAUUUAUCAUGCUGGAAGGAGUGUAGAAAAAUAGAGGAAUGAAGAAGGAAAACAACGCAAGUCAUUCUAUGUACUGUGGAAACAAACUGACAGUGGGUUUAGAAAAAAACAACAGAGGAAGAAGGUCUGAGUAGUCCCAGGUAAUUGGGAAACCGAGAAGGGAAGACCACUCGGGUGAGACCAGGGAGAUCGAAGCCACAGUAAAUCACGAUCACAUCCCUCUGCUGGACCUGAACGGUACUGCCGCCUGCAAGAGCCAUCUGGUCGACCUUAGACAUGACAAGGCGAGAACCAUCUGGUCAACCUUAGACAUGGCACUCUUGUGGCUAAGUCCAACUCUAGUUGCUGAAAUACGUCUCAAAAAAACAAAAACAAUCCAACAGUAAAUGUUUUACAAAAACAAAAAAAUAAACAAUAUUAAAGAACAAUGUAUAAAUAAGUGGGAGUGAACCAAGGUAAAAGGUAAUUAAUAUCACCAUUAAGAUCUCCUCUCUUUCUCUUUUUCUCUCCAUUUGUGAUACCCAGGCUGGAGUGUGACAAAGGAAAAUCUAAAAGGUCAACUUCAUUUACAGGAAAGAGCAUAGGAAAACAGACAAAAGAACAAAGAAGAAAAACAA